rnacentral:rRNA from 1 species
CGCAGCCGCGGUAAUUCCAGCUCCAAUAGCGUAUAUUAAAGUUGUUGCAGUUAAAAAGCUCGUAGUUGAAUUUCGGGAUCAAGGAAUCGGUCAUGCCUCGGUAUGUACUGGUUUUAUUGGUUCUCACCUUCUAAAGAACCAUGAUGUCAUUCAUUUGAUGUUAUGGGGAAUUAGGACUGUUACCUUGAAAAAUUAGAGUGUUUAAAGCAGGCUUACGCUUGAAUACAUUAGCAUGGAAUAAUGAAAUAGGACAUCAGAUUCUAUUUUGUUGGUUUCUAGGAUCGAUGUAAUGAUUAAUAGGGAUAGUUGGGGGCAUUAGUAUUCAAUUGUCAGAGGUGAAAUUCUUGGAUUUAUUGAAGACUAACUACUGCGAAAGCAUUUGCCAAGGAUGUUUUCAUUAAUCAAGAACGAAAGUUAGGGGAUCGAAGACGAUCAGAUACCGUCGUAGUCUUAACCAUAAACUAUGCCGACUAGGGAU